UCUCCGUUGGUGAACCAGCGGAGGGAUCAUUAUCGAGUUUAUAACUCCCAAACCCUAUGUGAACUUACCACUUGUUGCUUCGGCGCGCGCUUCGGCGCCGCCGAGGACACUUAAACUCUUUGUUUUUAUAAGCAUUUCUGAGUGGCCGAAAGGCAAAAUACAAAUGAAUCGAAACUUUCAACAACGGAUCUCUUGGUUCUG
rnacentral:misc_RNA from 1 species